rnacentral:rRNA from 2 species
GACGAACGCUGGCGGCGUGCUUAACACAUGCAAGUCGAACGGAAAGGCCCUGCUUUUGUGGGGUGCUCGAGUGGCGAACGGGUGAGUAACACGUGAGUAACCUGCCCUUGACUUUGGGAUAACUUCAGGAAACUGGGGCUAAUACCGGAUAGGAGCUCCUGCUGCAUGGUGGGGGUUGGAAAGUUUCGGCGGUUGGGGAUGGACUCGCGGCUUAUCAGCUUGUUGGUGGGGUAGUGGCUUACCAAGGCUUUGACGGGUAGCCGGCCUGAGAGGGUGACCGGCCACAUUGGGACUGAGAUACGGCCCAGACUCCUACGGGAGGCAGCAGUGGGGAAUAUUGCACAAUGGGCGGAAGCCUGAUGCAGCAACGCCGCGUGCGGGAUGACGGCCUUCGGGUUGUAAACCGCUUUCGCCUGUGACGAAGCGUGAGUGACGGU